rnacentral:rRNA from 1 species
AGUGAACGCUGGCGGUAGGCCUAACACAUGCAAGUCGAACGGCAGCACAGGAGAGCUUGCUCUCUGGGUGGCGAGUGGCGGACGUGUGAGGAAUACAUCGGAAUCUACUUUUUCGUGGGGGAUAACGUAGGGAAACUUACGCUAAUACCGCAUACGACCUACGGGUGAAAGCAGGGGAUCUUCGGACCUUGCGCGACUGAAUGAGCCGAUGUCGGAUUAGCUAGUUGGCGGGGUAAAGGCCCACCAAGGCGACGAUCCGUAGCUGGUCUGAGAGGAUGAUCAGCCACACUGGAACUGAGACACGGUCCAGACUCCUACGGGAGGCAGCAGUGGGGAAUAUUGGACAAUGGGCGCAAGCCUGAUCCAGCCAUACCGCGUGGGUGAAGAAGGCCUUCGGGUUGUAAAGCCCUUUUGUUGGGAAGGAAAUCCAGCUGGUUAAUACCCGGUUGGGAUGACGGUACCCAAAGAAUAAGCACCGGCUAACUUCGUGCCAGCCGCCGCAGUAA